rnacentral:rRNA from 1 species
CACGGCGCACGGGUGCGUAACACGUGGGCAAUCUGCCCUCCGAUGGGGAAUAACCCCGCGAAAGCGGGGCUAAUACCGCAUAACAUUCCUUGAGCGAUGGUUUGAGGAUUCAAAGCAGCAAUGCGUCGGAGGAGGAGCCCGCGCCCGAUUAGCUAGUUGGUGAGGUAAUGGCUCACCAAGGCAAUGAUCGGUAGCUGGUCUGAGAGGAUGAUCAGCCACACUGGAACUGAGACACGGUCCAGACUCCUACGGGAGGCAGCAGUGGGGAAUCUUGCACAAUGGGCGAAAGCCUGAUGCAGCGACGCCGCGUGGGGGAUGAAGCUUCUCGGAGUGUAAACCCCUUUCGCCUGGGACGAAUGCCCGCAAGGGAGUGACGGUACCAGGAUAAGAAGCCCCGGCUAACUACGUGUCAGCAGCCGCGGUAAGACGUAGGGGGCCAGCGUUGUUCGGAAUUACUGGGUGUAAAGGGUUCGUAGGCGGUGUGGCAAGUAGGGAGUGAAAUCUCUGGGCUCAACCCAGAGGCUGCUUCCAA